GAUGAACGCUGGCGGCGUGCCUAAUACAUGCAAGUCGAGCGAACAGACGAGGAGCUUGCUCCUCUGACGUUAGCGGCGGACGGGUGAGUAACACGUGGAUAACCUACCUAUAAGACUGGGAUAACUUCGGGAAACCGGAGCUAAUACCGGAUAAUAUAUUGAACCGCAUGGUUCAAUAGUGAAAGACGGUUUUGCUGUCACUUAUAGAUGGAUCCGCGCCGCAUUAGCUAGUUGGUAAGGUAACGGCUUACCAAGGCAACGAUGCGUAGCCGACCUGAGAGGGGGUUCGCCAACACGGAAACUGAACCACGGCCCAGACCCCAACGGAAGGAAGAGGAAGGAAACCUUCGCAAAUGGGGGAAACCUUGCCGAGCAAAGGCGCGUGAGGUGAGGAAGGCUUCCGAACGGUAAAACCUUGUUAUAGGGGAAAACAAAAUUUGUAGGUAACUAGGCACGUUUGAAGGUAACCAAAUAAGAAGGCACGGCUAACUACGUG
rnacentral:rRNA from 1 species